rnacentral:rRNA from 1 species
UACGUAGGGUGCGAGCGUUAAUCGGAAUUACUGGGCGUAAAGCGUGCGUAGGCGGUUUGUUAAGUCUGUCGUGAAAGCCCCGGGCUCAACCUGGGAAUUGCAUUCGAGACUGAAUAGCUAGGGUACGGUAGAGGGAAGUGGAAUUUCCGGUGUAGCGGUGAAAUGCGUAGAUAUCGGAAGGAACAUCAGUGGCGAAAGCGACUUCCUGGACCAGUACCGACGUUCAGGCACGAAAGCGUGGGGAGCAAACAGG